CACAGCCCCAGUUACCUGGGCAACAGAGGCCACACCAUUUGUCAGCGACGAAUGCUCUGGACCACAGGAACACGUACAGCUCAGGACCAGGCUUGUUGUUUACCUCAUGGACUCACUAUUUGGCUCCCGCCACGUUCAGGACGGAGGGACGCUCAUCGUCCAAUCCGCUGCGAGAAACAAGAUUCGGAAGAGGGACGUCAUAUCCGAUAAUCUCUUUGCACUUGCGACCAGCCUGUGAAACACUGAGUAGAAGUCGCAGGGCUUCAGCCUUGUGCUCCUCUUUGCUCUGAGAGUGGUUCACGAUGUCUAAGAGAGUGAGAACGCCUCCAUCCUCCAGGAACUCCA